AACGGAGGGGGCAAGCGUUAUUCAUCGUAAUUGGGCGUAAAGGGUAUGUAGGCGAUUUGUUGUAUUGUAGUGUUAAAAAGCCAUAUAUUCAUAUGGUAGGAGUUGCAAUAUAAAAAUUCGGAAAUUACGAGGUUGGCAGAAUUACUAAUGUAGAGGUAAAAAUUCGGAAAUAUUAGUAGGAAUACCAAAGGCGAAAGCAGCCUUCUUGUGUUUUUGACGCUGAUGUACUAAAGCAUGGGGAUCAAACAGG
rnacentral:rRNA from 1 species